rnacentral:rRNA from 1 species
GACGAACGCUGGCGGCGUGCCUAAUACAUGCAAGUAGAACGCUGAAGAGAGGAGCUUGCUCUUCUUGGAUGAGUUGCGAACGGGUGAGUAACGCGUAGGUAACCUGCCUGGUAGCGGGGGAUAACUAUUGGAAACGAUAGCUAAUACCGCAUGAAAUUGCUUAUCGCAUGAUAAUUGAGUGAAAGAUGCAAUUGCAUCACUACCAGAUGGACCUGCGUUGUAUUAGCUAGUUGGUGAGGUAACGGCUCACCAAGGCGACGAUACAUAGCCGACCUGAAGAGGUGGACGGCCAAACUGGGAAUGAGGAACGGCCCAGAACUCUACGGGAGGGAGGAAGAGGGAAUCUUCGGCAAUGGGGAGAAAGCUGACCGAACCAAGCCGCGUGAGUGAAGAAGGUUUUCGGAUCGUAAAGAUCUGUUGUAAGGGGAGAACGAGUGUGGGAAUGGACAGUUCACACUGUGACGGUAUCUUACCAGAAAGGCACGGCUAACUACGUG